rnacentral:rRNA from 1 species
GCUGGCGGUAUGCCUAACACAUGCAAGUCGUACGAGAGUUUUUAACUCUAGUGGCGGACGGGUGAGUAACACGUGAGAAUUUACCUUUAGGAGGGGGAUAACAAUUGGAAACGAAUGCUAAUACCCCAUAUGCUUUAGAGUGAAAUGGAUUUAUAAUUAUCCGCCUAGAGAGAAGCUCGCGGCUGAUUAGCUUGUUGGUAAGGUAAGAGCUUACCAAGGCGACGAUCAGUAUCUGGUUUGAGAGGACGAUCAGACACACUGGAACUGAGACACGGUCCAGACUCCUACGGGAGGCAGCAGUGGGGAAUUUUCCGCAAUGGGCGAAAGCCUGACGGAGCAAUACCGCGUGAGGGAAGACUGCCUAUGGGUUGUAAACCUCUUUUUUCAGGGAGGAAUAAAAUGACGUGUACCUGAAGAAUAAGCAUCGGCUAACUCCGUGCCAGCAGCCGCGGUAAGACGGAGGAUGCAAGUGUUAUCCGGAAUCACUGGGCGUAAAGCGUCUGUAGGUGGUUUAAUAAGUCAACUGUUAAAUCUUGAGGCUCAACUUCAAAAUCGCAGUCGAAACUAUUAGACUAGAGUAUAGUAGAGGUAAAGGGAAUUUCCAGUGGAGCGGUGAAAUGCGUAGAUAUUGGAAAGAACACCGAUGGCGAAAGCACUUUACUGGGCUAUUACUAACACUCAGAGACGAAAGCUAGGGUAGCAAAUGGGAUUAGAUACCCCCAGUAGUCCUAG